GGACGUAUGUUGUCAAGUUGCAUCUUUUCUGCCUCCCUGCUCACAUCUGUCUGUCUCCUCUCAUUGCUUGCCUGUUCGGUUUUGUCCUUAGAACGGGGAGAAGGUGCUUCCCAAGGAUGACAUUGAGUGCCCACUGGGCUGGAAGUGGGAAGAUGAGGAAUGGUCCACAGACCUCAACCGGGCUGUCGAUGAGCAAGGCUGGGAGUAUAGCAUCACCAUCCCCCCGGAGCGGAAGCCGAAGCACUGGGUCCCUGCUGAGAAGAUGUACUACACACACCGACGGCGGCGCUGGGUGCGCCUGCGCAGGAGGGAUCUCAGCCAAAUGGAAGCACUGAAAAGGGUGAGCCAGCAGGUGGUGGGUGGGAGUUAGGCCUCUGGUCAGAGGUGGCCAGUAGGCACAGAUGCAGACCUGCAUGCCCACAGACACAUGCAUGUGUGCACACAGCAUGCACAGACACCUGGGACUCACUGGAGGUGCUCACAGAUCACACCCAGCA
rnacentral:sRNA from 1 species